UCUCAGUUUCUGCCAAGUAGAGGUUGAAGUUGGGUUCCUCUUGCCUGUGUGGAACAUCCCUGAAUCAAUCUGCAGCUGUUGCUAUCCCUGACCCAAACUCCUGAGGUGUUGAACAUUUCUGAUGAGGAAUCGGGUACUGUGACUGCAAAGUGUACUCCAAACCAGCUGAGACAAUAUUCGAUGCAGUAUGCUAAGUGUGGAAUACUCUGUGCAGAAGGAAAUGCCUUACCUUUUCCUUGAGGUAAGAAGUGAGCACUAGAAAUGACCUCUGUCAUUUUACAUGCUUAUGAAAUAAAACAAAGGUAUAACGUAUUUGUUUUCCAUUUACUGGAGGAAGCUACAGUUUUGACUUUACCUUCAGUCUUCAGGAGAAUUACUCAUCUUGGAGAAUAUGCUGUUGUUCAUGCUUUAUACUUCCAGUUCCGAUUAAUGACUAGUUUCUAUGCGUGAAGGAUUCAUUUUCUUUAGUUGAAAUAUGGAUGAUUUAAUAUAAUUUUCUUUUAAUUAAGUACUUGGCCUUGGAUUUAAGAAGAACAGCACAAAAAAGGAAACCCUUGAAAAGUGCUGCAAUUCCAGCUUUUUUUCUAACUCUGCCAGCAUAUUGCAAGAAGGAAGAAGUGGAAUAUCAGGAGCUCAGACUCAGUGCAGAGAACAGUGGCUCAGAUCCUUGCAGGCAUCUGACACGUAGGUAUCAUGGAUUUCACUAAGAGCUUGGUCUAUCUUCAUUUGAACAAGAAAGCCUUUACUACUUAAGCCUUAUGAAUAUUUACUUUAAAGAUAUGGGUUUUUUCCUGUUUAUUAUGUGUGAUGAAGCAAAUUAGAGAUCUAGGAAUCUGACAGGUACUCAAGAUUUGAAUACUUUUUCAACAAAUAAAAUGAGGAAGAUUCACAAGCUUUCUUGUGCUGCAGCUAUAUGUAUGUACGUGUAACCAGUUACUGAGAUUGACAUAAAUACCUGGUAUGGCUGUGGUGAUGAAAACAGUAAAGAUUGGCAAUAAGUCACGAUUCCCUUUUAGAAGUAAGAUAAAUUCUACAUAACAUUCAAGCACAUCUGUCACCCCAACUAAUGAAAGCUGAUUUAAGUCAUUUAAUAGAAGCUGGAAUCCUUGAUAAUGACACUACUACUUUUCUUCCCAAGAUAAUUAUUAGCUGACCAAGAUGUUUCUUGGAUGUGAUGGUCUGCUGAAGAUAUAAACACUCAAACAUUUCUGCAAAUCAUCAAUACUUUAUUAUGCAGCUUCUGCAGUACUCACCCACUGAUGUUGCCAGGAACACUCAUAUCAAAUUAUUUACAAUAGUAAUGAAAACGGUACCACCAGAGACUUUGUGGAUGGCUCUCCCUGCAAUGUGUGACUCUUGAUUGGUGUUUCCAGAAAGCUAAAUUCAGUGCAGCUCUCUCAACUGCAUUCUGGCCUCUUGUGGAUUUUUCUUCUUGUCAGCUUUAAGUAGCAUUUUCAACAAUGAACUUCUGUUCUUCAGCUUAUCACUAGCCUUGAACUUACGAAUUUAGUUUCUGAAGGCAAAGCUUAGUGUGUUAGCCACAAUGACUCUGUUAAUUUAAAUGAUAUUAUGUUCAGGUACAGCUCUGUUUGCAGAAAGAAUAAGGGUGUGUAAUAGAGAUGGCAGUGAGAAAUCGAGGAAGAUGGCAAGACAAGUGCUGAUUUCUAAGCAAUGUUGUCUAUAGUGAUAGGUAAAUGCAGUUUUAUUUUCAAGUAGUGCAAUUUAAACAGAAAAUUUAAGAAAAACAACCCUCUCUGACCAUGAAGACAUGGAUGGUAACCCCUCUUUGACUUCAGUGCACUCUGUCCAUGAUUUGGUUUUAUGAGUUUUUCUCUCAUAAGGUGAUAACUCUGUGAGUAAGAAAUAGCGCCAACUGUUAGGAUUUUUCCUAGCAGGGAGAUAAAUGUGUAUAAUGGCAUGUCUUGCAUUGUGGUCUGUUACUGAUGGUUUCAUUGGAAAUUUUUAUUGGAAAAAUGAUGUAGGGGAAAUAAAACUCCAGCAAACAGCUUGCCUAAUGCUUUCACUGUAAAGAAUAAAGAGAAGAAGUCUUUAACUGGUAAAAAUGUUUCUGAGCUCUCACAAAGUAUGUUUUGUUUGUAAUCUUAGGGUCUAGAAAGGCCAGAUCUUUAAGCCUGGU